UGGCUCAUCCUGGCUCAAAAAGCACCCCCACUGAGCACCUUGCGACCCCGCACUCCUGCCCGCCAGAGAACAAACCCCCUUUGACUGUAAUUUUCCUUUACCUACCCAAAUCCUAUAAAACGGCCCCACCCUUAUCUCCUUUCACUGACUCUCUUUUCAGACUCAGCCCGCCUGCACCCAGGUUAAAUAAACAGCCAUGUUGCUCACGCAAAGCCUGUUUGGUGGUCUCUUCACACGGACGCGCAUGAAAUUUGCAAUACAAACUCGACAGUAGUUCCAAAUAGCCAGAAAACCACACUUUCAAUGUUUCCAUCCUG
rnacentral:lncRNA from 10 species